GGAGAAAACGUGGGAAGGAGAGGCUCAGAGGGAGGGGGGUGACAUCAUCGUUCUGGGGAGCAGCUGUGGAUAGGAAAUAAGGUGGUCUCAGGAAUGGGACCUGUUUGUGAGUUUGGAAGCUGAGGAAGAAAGAAUCUGUGGUGGUCCUGGGGAGGGAAAAGGAGAUCAAAUGAGGAUGUCGAAGGGAAACUGAACCGGGUUUAUUGUGACAAAGCUUCCUUGGGCUUCGGGGCAUGGUGAAGUUGUCAAGAAGAGCCAGUAUUCCAGAGAACUAAUGUGAUACUACAGAGGACUUCACAAAACCAGCUCUCAGCAGGAGAACAUCACCUGACAAAUUCCAAGACAGUCUUGUCUGACUGUACUCAUGCACCAAUGGAUUCCUGAGGAUCGAUGUCUCCCGAGGCAGACAGAUGCCAACCGAUCCCUAUUAACACAGGAGAGCUGAGAAUGUGAGCUUGGAGCUAGAGGAAAUCUCAGCUAUGUGACCACAGCAAACCCCCUUAUCUUAGCCACCAAUCACAGCCACUGGCCCAUCUUGUAGAUCAUUAUAGUUAAUUUAUGUGAAGUUCAGUAAACACUUGUGCAAAAACUGUGUACUUCAGUUGUAGUACAAACAUGUAUGUUGUAACAACUAACAGGUCUGAAUCUACUCAGAAGUAGGGGGGGGGAAUGCAUUCACAGAAUACACUUUCUCUGAAAAUACUAUUAUUGAUAUACUUGCAUUUCCCCAAUGCAUUUCCCCUAAAAUAAGCAUUUUUGUAGGCACUUUCCCCAUAAAAUACUGUUAUCACUUAUCUGAGAUUGCUAUUUGAAUCUCAGAACAACCAUUGCAUAGGGUGGGAAUGUGAGUAAUCAGAUUUGAGGAUGCCCACCCCUCCAGCAACCAAUCAUGGGCCUGAGGACAAUGGUGUCCCAACACAACACAACACAACACAACACAACACAACACAACACAACACAACACAACACA